GCCAUAUCACAUUGAAACACGGCUUCCAGUACAAUCGCCGAAGUUAAGCAAUGUCGAGCCUGGUUAGUAAUGAGAUGGGUGACCACUUUGGAAUACCAGCUGCUGUAA